rnacentral:sRNA from 1 species
AGAGCGAGGACGCGAACAGGAACGAUGACUCAGGAUGAGGGUCAGGAGCGCCAGGAGGCGAAGACAGAGGAUUGUCAGGAAGACAAACGUCGGAGACGUAACUAAAGGGAAAUGGAAUCAACAUGGAAUGUUCCGGCUGAUGGAAAAACAGGGUGUGUUGGCGGCCUGCAAGGAUUGUAAGACCCGUUAAGGGUUAUGAGUCAGGAAAAAAGGUGACAGAGUAAUCUGUCGCCUUUUUUCUUUGCUCGCUU